rnacentral:rRNA from 1 species
GGUCAAGUUAUUAAGGGUGCAGGGCGGAUGCCUUGGCACUAGGAGCCGAUGAAGGACGUGAUAAGCUGCGAUAAGCUUCGGGGAGUUGCACGUAAACUUUGAUCCGAAGAUUUCCGAAUGAGGAAACUCACUUAGAGUAAUGUCUAAGUAUCAUUAAGUGAAUACAUAGCUUAAUGAGGGGAACUCAGGGAACUGAAACAUCUAAGUACCUGAAGGAAGAGAAAGAAAUUCGAUUCCGUAAGUAGCGGCGAGCGAACGCGGAUUAGCCCAAACCAAUAAAGUUUUCUUUAUUGGGGUUGCGGACAUAUCAUAACGAAGAGGUAUCGUAAUUGAAGAGGUUUGGAAAGACCCACCACAGAAGGUAAUAGUCCUGUAUGUUAAACGAGAAGACUUCAGAUAUGAUCCAGAGUACCACGGGACACGUGAAACCCUGUGGGAAGCAGGAGGGACCACCCUCCAAGGCUAAAUACUACCUAGUGACCGAUAGCGUAUAGUACCGUGAGGGAAAGGUGAAAAGAACCCCGGGAGGGGAGUGAAAUAGAACCUGAAACCCUGCACUUACAAGCUGUGGAAGCACAUUUCUUGUGUGACCGCGUACUUUUUGUAGAACGGGCCAACGAGUUACGUUAAGUAGCAAGGUUAAGCACUUAAGGUGCGGAGCCGUAGCGAAAGCGAGUUUUAACUGAGCGUUCAGUUACUUGACGUAGACCCGAAACCGGGCGACCUACCCAUGAGCAGGAUGAAGCGAAAGUAAAAUUUCGUGGAGGUCCGAACCCACGAGCGUUGAAAAGCUCGGGGAUGACUUGUGGGUAGCGGUGAAAUUCCAAUCGAGCCCGGAGAUAGCUGGUUCUCCCCGAAAUAGCUUUAGGGCUAGCCUCAAGGUGAGAGAUACGGAGGUAGAGCACUGAAUGUCCUAGGGGGUAUUGCACCUACCGAAGACUAUCAAACUCCGAAUGCCGUCAUCUUAUACUUGGGAGUCAGACUGUGGGUGAUAAGAUUCAUAGUCGAAAGGGCAACAGCCCAGAUCGUCAGCUAAGGUCCCUAAAUGUAAGUUAAGUGGUAAAGGAUGUGGGAUUGCACAGACAACCAGGAUGUUGGCUUAGAAGCAGCCACUCAUUCAAAGAGUGCGUAAUAGCUCACUGGUCGAGUGAUCCUGCGCCGAAGAUUUCCGGGGCUAAAACUUACUACCGAAGCUACGGCAUCAGUAAUGAUGGGUAGGGGAGCUUCCCAUACGGGUUGAAGCAUGACCGUAAGGACAUGUGGACAGUAUGGGAGUGAGAAUGUUGGCAUGAGUAGCGAGAUGUGGGUGAGAAUCCCACAGGCCGUAAACCCAAGGUUUCCAGGGGAAGGUUCGUCCGCCCUGGGUUAGUCGGGACCUAAGCUGAGGCCGAAAGGCGUAGGUGAUGGACAACAGGUUGAUAUUCCUGUACUACCGAUAACCGUUUGAGAGAAGGGAUGACACAGUAGGAUAAGCUAAGCACACUGUUGGUUAUGUGUGCCCAAGCAUUGAGGCAGUCAAAGUAGGCAAAUCCGCUUUGAUAAUGCUGGGAUGUGAUGGGGAGCGAAAUUUAGUAGCGAAGUAGCUGAUUUCACACUGUCAAGAAAAGUCUCUAUCGAGGUUAAAGGUACCCGUACCGCAAACCGACACAGGUGGGUGAGGAGAGUAUCCUAAGGCCAGCGAGAGAACUGUUGUUAAGGAACUCGGCAAAAUGACCCCGUAACUUAGGGAUAAGGGGUGCCACCAUCAGGUGGCCGCAGAGAAUAGGCCCAAGCGACUGUUUACCAAAAACAUAGGUUUCUGCUAAGUCGCAAGACGAUGUAUAGGAGCUGACGCCUGCCCGGUGCUGGAAGGUUAAGGGGAUCUGUUAGAGCAAUCGAAGCAGUGAACUUAAGCCCCAGUAAACGGCGGCCGUAACUAUAACGGUCCUAAGGUAGCGAAAUUCCUUGUCGGGUAAGUUCCGACCCGCACGAAAGGCGUAACGAUUUGGGCACUGUCUCAACAACAGACUCGGUGAAAUUGUAAUUCCGGUGAAGAUGCCGGAUACCUGCGACAGGACGGAAAGACCCCAUGGAGCUUUACUGUAGCUUGACAUUGGGUCUUGGUACUACAUGU